GGCCAAGCUACUAAGGGCUUGCGGUGGAUGCCUCGGCGAGUCCUGGCGAUGAAGGGCGUGGCAAGCUGCGAUAAGCCCGGGGGAGGUGCAAGCAACCUGUGAUCCCGGGAUUCCCGAAUGGGGCAACCCAUCCAUCCGUAAGGAUGGAUAUCCGCUACUUUUUGUAGCGGAGGCGAACCGGGGGAAGUGAACCAUCUCAGUACCCCGAGGAAAAGAAAGAAAAAUUCGAUUCCCUGAGUAGCGGCGAGCGAAAGGGGAAGAGCCCAAACCGGAUAAGGUUAGAGCGUAGGCGCGUUCCUUAUCCGGGGUUGUAGGACCUGGCAGGGGAAGGCCUACCUUCCCAGCAGGUUUAAAAAUCUCUCAAAAUAGCCGAAUGACCUGGAAAGGUCAACCAUAGAGGGUGAAAGUCCCGUAGGCGAAAUUUUGGGAGUACCUGCGCCAGGAUCCUGAGUACCGCGGAGGAACCGAGGAACUUCGCGGGAAGCAGGGAGGACCACCUCCCAAGGCUAAAUACACGGACUCGACCGAUAGUGCACAAGUACCGCGAGGGAAAGGUGAAAAGAACCCCGGAAGGGGAGUGAAAUAGAACCUGAAACCGCAAGCCUACAAGCAGUCGGAGCCCACUUUUUGGUGGGUGACGGCGUGCCUAUUGAAGAAUGAGCCAGCGAGUUACUGGCUGCGGCGAGGUUAACCAGCGUCAGCUGGGGAGCCGUAGCGAAAGCGAGUGGUCCUAAUUGGGCCCAUUAGUCGCAGUCAGUAGACCCGAAGCCGAGCGAUCUAACCAUGGCCAGGGUGAACCUGCCGUAACAGGCAGGGGAGGCCCGAACCGGUGGUUGUUGCAAAAACCUCGGAUGAGCUGUGGUUAGGAGUGAAAGGCUAAUCAAGCUCGGUGAUAGCUGGUUCUCCCCGAAAUGCCUUUAGGGGCAGCCUCACCUAAUAAGGUGGUGGGGGUAGAGCACUGAUAGGGCGAGUUCGCCGGUAGGCGAGCAAGUCCUUUCAAACUCCGAAUACCACCACCUGUUUGGUGGGAGUGAGACGGUGGGGGAUAAGCUCCAUCGUCAAGAGGGAUACAGCCCAGACCAUCGGCUAAGGUCCCUAAAUCCGGCCUAAGUGGUAAAGGAGGUGGAGUUGCAUAGACAACCAGGAGGUUGGCUUAGAAGCAGCCAUCCUUUAAAGAAAGCGUAACAGCUCACUGGUCGAUGCAACUCUGCGCCGACAAUUCAACGGGGCUUAAGGCCGGUACCGAAGCCAUGGAUCUGCCACAUAAAUUGUGGCAGGUGGUAGGGGAGCAUUCCCUGGCGGAGAAGGUGUUCCGGAAGGAACACUGGAGCCAAGGGAAGAGAGAAUGCUGGCAUAAGUAGCGAAAAAGUGGGUGAGAAUCCCACUGGCCGAAAGCCUAAGGUUUCCUGGGGAAGGUUCGUCCUCCCAGGGUUAGGCGGGAGCUAAGCCGAGGCCGAAAGGCGUAGGUGAUGCACAGCCGGUUAAUAUUCCGGCCCCACCUGAUAAACGUUAUUACCGAAGGGGUGACGGAUUAGGAUAGGCCAGCCGGCGACUGGUAGUGCCGGUUUAACCCUGGAGGUCCUGCCUGUGGCAAAUCCAUGGGCGAUAUAGGACCAAAAGGGGAAUACGAGCCCAACCGCAAGGGCGGGCGAAGUGGUCGAGUCCUGGUCCCAAGAAAAACCUCGUAGGGAGUUUAUCAGGUGCCCGUACCGCAAACCGACACAGGUAGGCUGGGGGAGUACCCUAAGGCCCGCGAGUGAGCCCUCGCUAAGGAACUCGGCAAGUUAGCCCCGUAACUUCGGGAGAAGGGGUGCCUGAGUAGGGUGAGGUUUAUCCAUAACCAAGCCCGAAAAGGCCGCAGUGAAAUGGCUCCCGCGACUGUUUACCAAAAACACAGGGCUCUGCAAACUCGUCAAGAGGAUGUAUAGGGCCUGACAAGUGCCCGGCGCCGGAAGGUUAAGGGGAGAUGUUAUCCGCCAUUUUGGCGGAGAAGCAUCAAACCUAAGCCCCGGCAAGCGGCGGCCGUAACUAUAACGGUCCUAAGGUAGCGAAAUUCCUUGUCGGGUGAGUUCCGACCCGCAUGAAUCUUGUAACGACGGGAGCGCUGUCUCGGCGAGGGGCUCGGCGAAAUUGUGAUACUCGUGAAGACGCGAGUUACCUGUGGCAAGACGAAAAGACCCCGGAACCUUUACUGUACCCUAUCAUUGGAUUUUAAAGUAGUAUGCGUAGGAUAGGUGGGAGGCGAUGAAGUCCCGCUUUCGGGCGGGAUGGAGCCGACGGUGAAAUACCACUCUUACUACUUUGAAAUCCUAACCUGAGCAUGUCCAACCAUGCCAGGGACAGUGGUAGGCGGGCAGUUUAGCUGGGGCGGCUGCCUCCUAAAAGGUAACGGAGGCGUCCAAAGGUCCCCUCAACCUGGUUGGCAAUCAGGUGUUGAGUGCAAAGGCAGAAGGGGGCCUGACUGCGAGACCGACGGGUCGAGCAGAGGCGAAAGCCGGGCUUAGUGAUCCGGUGGUCCCGUGUGGAAGGGCCAUCGCUCAGCGGAUAAAAGGUACUCCGGGGAUAACAGGCUGAUCCUGCCCAAGAGUCCACAUCGACGGCAGGGUUUGGCACCUCGAUGUCGGCUCACCGCAUCCUGGGGCUGGAGCAGGUCCCAAGGGUUGGUCUGUUCGCCCAUUAAAGCGGUACGUGAGCUGGGUUCAGAACGUCGUGAGACAGUUCGGUCUCUAUCUGCCACAGGCGUAGGAGACUUGAAGGGGGGCUGGCCCUAGUACGAGAGGACCGGGCUGGGCGGACCUCUGGUGUACCAGCUAUUCCGCCAGGAGUAAUCGCUGGGUAGCCAUGUCCGUAAGCGAUAACCGCUGAAAGCAUCUAAGCGGGAAGCGCGCCCCAAGAUAAGGUCUCCCUCUGCCAGAGUAAUCUGGCAGAUAAGGUCCCAGGUAGACUACCUGGUUGAUAGGCCCUGCGUGUAAGACCCGUAAGGGUCUAAGCGGAGGGGUACUAAUAGACCGAUUGGCUUGGCCAU
rnacentral:rRNA from 1 species